rnacentral:rRNA from 1 species
AUGGCCGCCGUCAUGGAUUUGGAUCUCAACUGCGCGCCGCCGUCGCCGGAGCCCGCGCCCCAGGACCACCGCCUCGCCCACGCAAUGCUCCGCCAAGAACACGCCUACCGCCACCAGGUGGAGGACCUGCAUAGGCUGUAUUGGGCGCAGAGGAAUCUCAGGCCUGAUGCGCCCUUCUGGGAGCAAUCCCACGAUGUCCUCUAUCCUGUUCCCACCCAUUCCAUGGCCAUGGCCACUUCCUCCCAAUCCCACAUCCACAUGAUUGAUCCGGAUCUGUCAGGAGGCAAGCAGGCCAUUUGGUGUGGCAAUGGGGUUGCAGGGAAUUUGGGCGCUGAGGGUUCUUCUGUCAGGAGGAAACCUGACCAUGGUGGUGGUGUGCAGGGGAGGUCCGGUUACCGCCGUAUGAUCGAUCUAGAGAAGCCGGCGACGUCCGAGGACGACGAUGAUGAUGUGGAGAUCUUGUCUCCUGCCCGGUUCAGUGACUAUGCCAAGCGCAAUGCUGGGUUUGUGGAUAAUUCUCAGUGUUAUCCAAGGGAGAAUGCUGCCCAUGUUCGUUUCGGUUCAACUGGAUCUAGUGAUACCCCAGACAGUCAUUCACCAGUGAAAGCAAAGGCUACUGCAUCUGGACGCAUGCUUAUCGACCUGAAUAUAGCUCAAGAAGAUGAUUUAAAUGUUUGCCCUGAUUCUUCCAAAAACGUGUUCUGUUCUCCUUUGGCUAGUUCAAGAACAAUGCAAUCAGGAGAAGGUUGCAGCAACUCCAGCAAAGCAUUCCACAUCAGAGCUGAGUCGAGCAUUGGAUCUUCAAAAGGGUCUUCGAUCACAGUUGCGGCAUCAAUGCCGGCCCCAGACAGCAUGAGGGAAGUGAUGGCCAGAGGUAUUUGUGACCCACAGAGCAGUUCUAAGCCUUUCCGCGUGGAAGCUUCAAAUCAUGACGUGCGUCUCAGAGGAAAUAUCCAGCAUCAACAUACACUAGAUAAUGUCUCUGGAAUGAGUUCUCAGGCCUCUAUGGAAAUUCCACGUGAAGAGAUGUCAGUUAGGGCGAGCGGUCGACAUUCUUCUUCUUCUUCAGACUUACAAAAAAUAGGAGGACAAACAGCUGUUUAUAGGGAGUGCCAAGAGGAGAGUCUAGCAGUAAUCUGUGAUGAUGAAAUGGAGGGUUUUGACUUGAAUGUGUCUGUUGGAAGCAUCGAGCUCCCAUCGAUGAUGGAUAGCAGUCCCAGAGAGAAACAUGCAAGUAGUAGUGAUGGUGUUGACAAACUUCUAAGUCAUUACUUUACUGAGGAUAAGGUCCAGGAAAACAUUUCUUCCGUCGAAUGUCCAACUAUCAUAGACCAACAACACAUGGCUGAGAGUAUGGACGGUAAAAGUGUACGGUCGCCAGACUCCGGAGUUGCAACAAACAGAUCGAUGUCGAUUCCAGAAACUCCUCAAGGUCGUGACUACGCUUGUCCAAGAUUGAGACCAUCAAGUAACGGAGAAUCAAAUUCUAUGAACGCGCCCAUCACAUAUCAAGUUGUGACAGAAGAUGAGCUACUAGCGUCCACAGCAGCUCAGACACUCGUUUCCUUGUUCACGGAUAGCGCUGCGUGGAUCACAGACAGCCAUUGCAGCAACAACCAGGCAGAUGCUCAGGAUGGAGGCGAUGAACCGCAGGUCUCGCUGGACUCGUUCGAGGAAGGCGUGAUGAACCUGGAGGCUCUGAGAGACGAUGGGGAUUCAGUCGCUGUGAGAGCGCCGGACAAGGACGGGCCUUCGUGUGGGAUCAAGCUGCGGAGAGGGAGGGGGAUGAGAGACUUCCAGAGGGAGAUAUUGCCCGGGCUGGUCUCCCUCGCGAGGCACGAGAUAUGCGACGACUUGCAUGCUAUAGGGUAUGAAAUCAGGAAGACCAGGCAGAGGAGGGCGCCCGGGGACAAGUACGGUCCGUCGACCCGGUCAAGGCUGCCUCGGCGUUGCUCCAAUGCAUGGAACUAG